UACGUAGGGUGCAAGCGUUGUCCGGAUUUAUUGGGCGUAAAGAGCUCGUAGGCGGUCUGUCGCGUCGGAUGUGAAAACCCAGGGUUCAACCCUGGGCCUGCAUUCGAUACGGGCAGACUAGAGUAUGGCAGGGGAGACUGGAAUUCCUGGUGUAGCGGUGAAAUGCGCAGAUAUCAGGAGGAACACCGGUGGCGAAGGCGGGUCUCUGGGCCGAUACUGACGCUGAGGAGCGAAAGCGUGGGGGAGCAAACAGG
rnacentral:rRNA from 1 species